rnacentral:lncRNA from 1 species
UUCACAUCGAUAUCCGAAUGCUUGAACCGACUAAUCCUUUCAUCAAUGGAGAGAGUGCAUUCUGCAUUGAGUAGGGAAGUGACUGUUAAACCUCCGACAUGGAUACGAAAAGUUUCUGCAGUAAAAAGCACAAGGAUCAUCAAACUCGAUAAAUCCAGAACCACAAAAUCUCCACCACACUUGAAACUGAUUUAAAGAAAUAUGCAUCACCAUUCGAG